AUAUCAGUCAUGCAUAGCAUAUCAAUAAGCGGAGGAAAAGAAACUAACAAGGAUUCCCUUAGUAACGGCGAGUGAAGCGGGAAGAGCUCAAAUUUGAAAUCUUCAAGGUUCUACCUUGACGAAUUGUAGUUUAUAGAAGUGUUUUCUGUUAGUAGAGUGGCAAAAGUUCUUUGGAAUAGGACAUCAUAGAGGGUGAGAAUCCCGUAUUUGGUCAUUCCUCCUAGCGUUGUGAUACACUUUCAACGAGUCGGAUUGUUUGGGAAUGCAGUCCAAAAUGGGUGGUAAAUUUCAUCUAAAGCUAGAUACUGGCGAGAGACCGAUAGCGAACAAGUACCGUGAGGGAAAGAUGAAAAGAACUUUGAAAAGAGAGUUAAACAGUACGUGAAAUUGUCAAAAGGGAAGCGUUUGACACCAGUGUUGUUUUUCCGAAAAUCAAUUACGAAUGUUUUAUUUUUGAGGAGUUAUGACUUCAUCGGCUUGCUCCUUUCUUUAUGAAACUUUCUUAAUGCACUUUUCGGUUAACAAGUCAACAUCAAUUUCUUUUGUUGUAAAAGGGUAUGAGGAAGGUGGCUUUCUUUUCGGAGAAAGUGUUUAUAGCCUUGUGCCUCUGCAAUCGGAGAGAUUGAGGUCUGCAGCGUAGAUCCUUCGGGGUUAGAUACGUUUGUGCUAAGUUAUAGCUUUUCAUAGACAACUUGUUGACUAUGUUUAGUCUUGUAGCUUACUCGCUUACGCUAUUUUACCUACGCUUAGGAUGUUGAUCUCUCACAGUCGAGC
rnacentral:rRNA from 1 species